rnacentral:rRNA from 1 species
AUUGAACGCUGGCGGCAUGCCUUACACAUGCAAGUCGAACGGUAACGCAGGGCAACCUGGCGACGAGUGGCGAACGGGUGAGUAAUAUAUCGGAACGUACCCAGAAGUGGGGGAUAACGUAGCGAAAGUUACGCUAAUACAGCAUACGAUCUACGGAUGAAAGUGGGGGACCUUCGGGCCCCAGUCUUGUGGAGCGGCCGAUAUAUGAUUAGCUAGUUGGUGAGGUAAAGGCUCACCAAGGCGACGAUCAGUAGCUGGUCUGAGAGGACGACCAGCCACACUGGGACUGAGACACGGCCCAGACUCCUACGGGAGGCAGCAGUGGGGAAUUUUGGACAAUGGGCGCAAGCCUGAUCCAGCAAUGCCGCGUGAGUGAAGAAGGCCUUCGGGUUGUAAAGCUCUUUUGUCAGGGAAGAAACGGUCUGGGCUAAUAUCCUGGGCUAAUGACGGUACCUGAAGAAUAAGCACCGGCUAACUACGUGCCAGCCGCCGCCGUAAGAC